CGUAGGGUGCGAGCGUUAAUCGGAAUUACUGGGCGUAAAGCGUGCGCAGGCGGUUUUGUAAGACAGAUGUGAAAUCCCCGGGCUCAACCUGGGACCUGCAUUUGUGACUGCAAGGCUAGAGUACGGUAGAGGGGGAUGGAAUUCCGCGUGUAGCAGUGAAAUGCGCAGAUAUGCGGAGGAACACCGAUGGCGAAGGCAAUCCCCUGGACCUGUACUGACGCUCAUGCACGAAAGCGUGGGGAGCAAACAGGAUUAGAUACCCUGGUAGUCCACGCCCUAAACGAUGUCAACUGGUUGUUGGGUCUUUACUGACUCAGUAACGAAGCUAACGCGUGAAGUUGACCGCCUGGGGAGUACGGCCGCAAGGUUG
rnacentral:rRNA from 1 species